AGUGAACGCUGGCGGUAGGCCUAACACAUGCAAGUCGAACGGCAGCACAGUAAGAGCUUGCUCUUACGGGUGGCGAGUGGCGGACGGGUGAGGAAUACAUCGGAAUCUACUUUUUCGUGAGGGAUAACGUAGGGAAACUUACGCUAAUACCGCAUACGACCUACGGGUGAAAGCAGGGGAUCUUCGGACCUUGCGCGAUUGAAUGAGCCGAUGUCGGAUUAGCUAGUUGGCGGGGUAAAGGCCCACCAAGGCGACGAUCCGUAGCUGGUCUGAGAGGAUGAUCAGCCACACUGGAACUGAGACACGGUCCAGACUCCUACGGGAGGCAGCAGUGGGGAAUAUUGGACAAUGGGCGCAAGCCUGAUCCAGCCAUACCGCGUGGGUGAAGAAGGCCUUCGGGUUGUAAAGCCCCUUUGUUGGGAAAGAAAAGCAGCAGGUUAAUACCCCGCUGUUCUGACGGUACCCAAAGAAUAAGCACCGGCUAACUUCGUG
rnacentral:rRNA from 1 species